AGCAAUAUAUCAGCGGCGAAAGGGAGAGUAACGCGUAGCUACGUACCCCGGAGUCCAGAAUAGCCAGCCGAAAGGCUGGGUAAUGCUGGAUGAUGUCUCCGGACUAAAGGUGUGAUUCCGCUUUGGGAGCGGGCUGCGUUGUACUAGCUUGUUGGUAGGGUAACGGCCUACCAAGGCGAUGAUGCAUACCGGGCGUGAGAGCGUGGCCCGGCUCACUGGGACUGAGACACUGCCCAGACACCUACGGGUGGCUGCAGUCGAGAAUCUUUGGCAAUGAGCGCAAGCUUGACCGAGCGACGCCGCGUGCGGGAUGAAGGCCUUCGGGUUGUAAACCGCGAAAGUAGGGAGGAAAUCGCUAGGGGUUCUCCCCUAGUGUUGACCUAUCUUCAGUAAGGACGGGCUAAGUUCGUGCCAGCAGCCGCGGUAAUACGAACCGUCCAAACGUUAUUCGGAUUUAUUGGGCUUAAAGGGUAUGUAGGCGGCCCUUCAAGUCGGGUGUGAAAGCCCUCGGCUCAACCGAGGAACUGCGCCCGAUACUGUGGGGCUCGAGGGAGACAGAGGUAAGCGGAACUGAUGGUGGAGCGGUGAAAUGCGUUGAUAUCAUCAGGAACACCAGUGGCGAAAGCGGCUUACUGGGUCUCUUCUGACGCUGAGAUACGAAAGCUAGGGGAGCGAACGGGAUUAGAUACCCCGGUAGUCCUAGCUGUAAACGAUGAGCACUUGAUCGAGGGGCCCCCCAUAGCCUCUCGGUCGUAGCGAAGUGAUAAGUGCUCCGCCUGGGGAGUAUGGUCG
rnacentral:rRNA from 1 species